UAGCAUGCAACACCGUCCUUCCGGACGACAUGGAACCAACGAAACUUGUUUCGUAAACUUCCCAACAUUGUGAUUAGACGUAGCCCAUUUCUCUUCUACUUGGUCGUCGACUAAUUGUGCCUUGAAUGUCUUCUACGUGGUGCGCAAUAAAAACAACCAAACGAUUGCCAUUUCCCUUUCUUUCUGGUUGUACUGGUUGUUUAAAAUCUACCAUGGCUUCGUCAUCACCCUUAAGACAUGUUCAUCAUUAAUCCCGUCACUGCCCGGCGAGUCCUUCGCAAAAGCAAGCGCCAGUGUACUGGAUACAGCCGGUAUCUUUACAUAAAAUCUUCUUGAAUGCAUUGUGGUCUUCUACCUUUUACUUCGCCGCUCGACGGACGACAGCGUAAACAUAGGGCAAGAGAAUGGUGACGUUAAAACUUGCUUAGUGUCUUGUUUACAUUAAAACAAAGCUUUUUCUUUGCUCUGGCAGUUAUAAAAAAAGUACAGAAGUACAACAUUCACAUAUAAACAGCUUCAGCUUGCAA